rnacentral:rRNA from 1 species
AGUAACACGUAGGAACGUACCCCAAACCUGAGGCAUAAGCACCAGAAAUGGUGUCUAAUACCGCAUGUGAUCUUCGGAUUAAAGCUUCGGCGGUUUGGGAACGGCCUGCGCAUGAUUAGCUUGUUGGUGAGGUAAUGGCUCACCAAGGCAAUGAUCAUUAGCUGGUCUGAGAGGAUGAUCAGCCAGACUGGGACUGAGAACGGCCCAG